CUUCCUACGGGGGGCAGCAGUGGGGAAUAUUGCACAAUGGGGGAAACCCUGAUGCAGCGACUCCGCGUGAAGGAAGAAGUAUUUCGGUAUGUAAACUUCUAUCAGCAGGGAAGAAAAUGACGGUACCUGACUAAGAAGCCCCGGCUAACUACGUGCCAGCAGCCGCGGUAAUACGUAGGGGGCAAGCGUUAUCCGGAUUUACUGGGUGUAAAGGGAGCGUAGACGGUGAUGCAAGUCAGAAGUGAAAGCCCGGGGCUCAACUCCGGGACUGCUUUUGAAACUGUGUAACUGGAGUGCAGGAGAGG
rnacentral:rRNA from 1 species